UUGAUGCUAACUCAACUUAUCGCGAAAGAAUAUAUUCGUUUGGAAAUGAAGCUGGACUACCGUAAUUAUCAUCCAAGUUGUGUUGCUUUCCCUGCCACUUCGCUGUAUCUUUGAAAAACCUGAACUUUAUGGUGUAACGAUUUGGUCUGCGACGUUUUCAUUUCAAUGAAAACAGUAAGAGUUUUGCGGUUCAAUUGUAUGUGAUCUACACUACCUCUGGAAAUGAAAAACUUGAAUUUUCAAAUCGUUUUUUCGAUUAGUGGCUGUCUUUGAAGGUCCCGAAAAGUUUCGGCGAAGUCUGGUCGAAUAUAUGUUGUCUGAGUGUGUAGACGUUAAAGUUAGAUAGCUGAAGUGUGAGUCUAUUUUGUGAAUUUUUUGAUUUUUAUUUGUUUGAUAAGUUUUUGUGAAUUUUGUUGGAUGAAUUUUCACUUGUGCUUUGCUGCGUUAGGGUAUUUUCAUAGCAGUAUUCCUUAUUGAUCCUUGAUUUUCCAUCAGAAGAUGCCAUUUUUCUACGUAAUUCAUUCGAAGACUUGUUCAACUGAAUGGUUUACUGCUGUCUCGUGUAACGGACCAGUGGAAGCGACUGAUGAUGGUUAGACCACGCGCUAACCACUGACCGCCACUGGAUCCGGAGGUCGAAACAGAUUUGUCCUUCUUUGAUUCGCUUCACGCGAACCAUGGGAAAGGGAAGAGCAAAGCUCUGUUCGUUUAUUUACAAUUACUUCCUUAAUUUUUAGAUUACUUUAUAGGUAUUACAGGUCUUAGUUGUCCUCGUCCGAGCUUCAUGUAUGUAUUUGCAGCCCGUUGCCAAAUCGUAACGUAAAAAAAGCCUGAAUUCAUAUUUCUGUGUUUCGAAUGGAAGGAUUCAUUUUUGGAGUCAAUAAACAGAAAUAUAUUGAUUAUUUGAGAGUAGUGCAAUUGAGAAAAGAAAAACUUUUUGCUGAAAUGUGUCUAAAAAGGGAACACCGAUAUCCAACGGUUUUCGCGAAGAACGGUUUGAUAAUUCCGGUCAAUUGAUACAUUCGAAUGAGUCCCAUGUUAGCUGUUCGCUGAAGGUCAAAAUGGGACCACCCUGUCAAAUUAAAAUUUUCUGUUGCACUGACAAGGAGGAAAAAGAAAACUUGUUGAAAAACUGGCCAGUACAAUAUCUAAGUAAAGAAUCGGUUACAAAAGUAGGGGACGCGUCCGAGUCUCGAGCGCACAACGUGGUAAAAAUAUUGUUUGAUCCAAUACCCAACCGAGAUAACGAAAAAUCAUUGCUAAUACUGAAAUGCUAUGAGUCCGAGUGGGACGUUCUCAACACAGCCGUUAACCGUAUGCUACAAAAAAUGCCAACGAUUGCCGAAAACCAAGCUCUAUUCGAUUCAGGAGAAUCGUCACAGUCACCUUCGCCAACUAACUAGGCAGAUUCUAUGUAACACUGCAGCCAGUAUUAUGAUUAUGUCGAUUAUGAACAAAGAUUGAGCGAACGUAGAGCCUUUUAUAACUUGGCAUCAUAUUACCAUGUGCCGUCAUACUUAAAUCAAUAAAUUCAUUGAACCCAAAGUGU